rnacentral:lncRNA from 1 species
AGAAUACAACUAGAAUAAAUUCAGAGUGUCAACUCUUCAUUUGUAUUUCAUGCUUCGAGUAGCUUACAUGAUGCACCAGUGUAUCAGUAUUGUGUACCUGGCAUUUGGAAAGCAAAAAAGAGGAUGGAGAUCAGUAAGAAGCAGCAGUAGUGUAAACACACAGCAACACAGUAGUGCAACAACACAACAAUAAACUCAGUCACAGAAUGGUAGCAGAAAUCCCAUUGCACUUUCAACGGAAAACCAAAACACCCAACUGAACUAGUGUUCAAAACCCAACAGAAUAGCGUAGUAGCAGUUUCCACAACCAAGCAAGAAACCAGGAACUUAAUGAAGUGACACUUGGAACCAACAAUAGACCCAGGCAACACCAAUUGAAACCCAACCAAUACCAGAAAAAAAAACACAAGGCAGAGGCAAAUAAAAUAGUAGCUUCUGAUUUUUAAGACUCGAAGAGAAAAACAAGCUGAAGCUCUUUGAUAUGAAGGUUAGACUUAAGCACUAUAACUCUCUCUAAAAUUUU